rnacentral:rRNA from 1 species
UACGUAGGUGGCGAGCGUUAUCCGGAAUGAUUGGGCGUAAAGGGUGCGUAGGCGGCCUGCUAAGUCUGGAGUGAAAGGUACCGGCUCAACCGGUACAGGCUCUGGAAACUGGUAGACUUGAGUGCAGGAGAGGAGAGUGGAAUUCCAUGUGUAGCGGUGAAAUGCGUAGAUAUAUGGAGGAACACCGGUGGCGAAAGCGGCUCUCUGGCCUGUAACUGACACUGAGGCUCGAAAGCGUGGGGAGCAAAUAGG